AAAACUUUCAACAAUGGAUCUCUUGGUUCCGGCAUCGAUGAAGAACGCAGCGAAAUGCGAUAAUUAAUGUGAAUUGCAGAAUUCAGUGAAUCAUCGAGUCUUUGAACGCACAUUGCACCCCCUGGUAUUCCGGGGGGUAUGCCUGUCCGAGCGUCAUUG
rnacentral:rRNA from 1 species